rnacentral:piRNA from 1 species
AGGAAGGUAGGUGAAGUGACUGG